rnacentral:rRNA from 1 species
CGACCGGCGCACGGGUGCGUAACGCGUAUGCAACCUACCUUUAACAGGGGGAUAACACUGAGAAAUUGGUACUAAUGCCCCAUAAUAUCAUAGAAGGCAUCUUUUAUGGUUGAAAAUUCCGAUGGUUAGAGAUGGGCAUGCGUUGUAUUAGCUAGUUGGUGGGGUAACGGCCCACCUAGUCUUCGAUGGAUAGGGGUUCUGAGAGGAAGGUCCCCCACAUUGGAACUGAGACACGGUCCAA